rnacentral:rRNA from 1 species
AUGCAGCGCACCGACCUCUCCACCACACCGGACAGGUUGAUCUGGAGAUGGACAGCGGGCGGCAACUACUCUGCGCAGUCCUGUUACAUGGCCACCUUCCAUGGAUCAACGGCCUGCCGUUCCUGGAAGCUAAUUUGGAAAUGCUGGGCGCCGCCACGAGUCAAGUUCUUCCACUGGUUGGCCAACCAGGACCGCUGCUGGACGGCAGAGAGGCUGGCUCGCCACGGCCUCCAGCAUCAUCCCCGCUGCCUCCUAUGUGACCAGCAGCCGGAAACGGUGCGACAUCUGCUGCUGGAAUGCCCCCUCGCCCGACAGGCAUGGCACGAGACCCUGGCCUGGCUACGCAUCCCGGCCCCGAUCCCCAUGCAGGAACUAUCGCUUACGGACUGGUGGAAACAUGCCAAGGAAGACACGCCGCUGAUCCUACGCAAGGCCCUGAAUUCUGUCGCGUUGCUCGUGCCAUGGAUGGUCUGGAAGCACAGGAACAGCUGCGUCUUCGACAAUGCGACGCCAUCCCUCAACACGCUUCUAGAUAGCAUUAAGGACGAGGCCCGCUCAUGGGGGGCAGCUGGGGCACCUGGCCUCCGACUUGUGCUGCCCCAAACCUGGGAUGUACAUUAA